rnacentral:lncRNA from 1 species
AAUCUCAUAGUUUUUUUUCAUAUUAAUUUCAUAGUUACUCAUCAUAUCAUAUCAUAUCACAUGAAACGCGUUCACAUAAUUACUACAGUAAUUUUACCAAUAAAUGCAUUCAUAUCAAAAUUUCUUUAUCUAAUGCUGAGUCAACUAAUAAAAGCUGGAAUUUCCUCCUAUUUCAUCCUUAAUUUCCUCGUGUUUCUUUCCGUACUAUGAGAUUGGGAAGAAAUUGCUUUACUAAACGGAAAUUGUACACCCCAGGCCUAAGUGAAUAUGCAAAAGGAAUGUCAUAUAUAUUUCAACCAAAAAUAUUUCAACCAUUAAGUGGAAGAAUACAUUCAUCACCCUCUAGAAUACUAGCAGCAGAAAUGCCAAGAACACAUGGAAGCCAUAUAUGCUUCAACCAAAAAUAAUGUGUGAAAAAAAAAGAAAAAGAAAUUCAGCACUUACUUUGGCGAGAAUGAAUUAAUACUCUGGGAACAGGUGAUCUGUUGAAUCUGCAGAAAUUUCAUUUAUGUGGUGAAGCUACGUUUAAAAAAAAACAUUAAAUUAAAAAAAUACAGAAUUCAGCACAUACUUGAGAGAAAAUGAAACUUCUGGCAGUAGCUACUUGCACCAGUGAUCUUGUGAGUAUGAUGAAGCCAGUGAUCUUGUGAAUAUGCUGCACUUACUCCUUCAAAAGUUUAAGGUCAAAAAAGGGGAACAUCCGGAGGAAGGUGAUGAUUUCAAUGAAAAUACAAAGGCUCCGUUUGGAUAUGCUGUUUUUGGGGGUAUUUUACAAAAAUAGCACUAUUCAUUUAUUGGAAAACAAUCAAUGUUGUUUGAAUUAGUUGUUUUUUAAAAACAGAGUGUUUUUGAAAAACAAGUGUGUAUGGAUUCACUCAGUUACGAAGCCAGGAAUUUUUUUUGGAGGGCCAAAAUUUUUUCCUCAUAAAUUAUCUUAAUAUAUUAUGUUCAAAAUAAUUUUCUUCUAUUUAAAUAUAUGACAUCUAAAAAUAUCAAAUAUUAAAUUUAAUUAUAAAGAUACGUCUAUUCAUAAAUAUGCGGUACAGUCAUAACAAAAAUUAACAAAAAAGAUAACCUUUGAUUAAAUAUCUUAUAACAUCACAAACCAUUCAAUUUGCAUAUUAUGAGAAGAUGCUCCAAUAUGUCACCUAUAACCAUGUAAUAUAAAUGUAACUAUUUUCAAUUGAAAAAAAGAUAAAAGUUAUGUUAAGAUACUUUGAAAUUUCAACAUCUUUUCUUAGAAGUAAAUUGAGCUCUACGCUCUUUCAUAGAACUAAAUUCAUCUAUGAUUGAAUCACUGCUAAAUUUUUUAGUAACUUCUUUUUCUAUAUACACAGUUAGACAAUCAUUCAAGAAAUUAUCUUCCAUCUCGUUUUGGAGCUUUGCCUUGAUUAUUUUCAUAAUUGAAAAUGCCCACUCUGUAAUUACAGUUGAUACAGGAAGAGUAAAAACAAGUCUAAUCAAUCUAUCAAUAAGAGAAUAUAUCACUGAUUUUCUUGUGUUCACCAAGUCUUGACAUAACUCAUGAAUACCAAAUAAUUCUUGCAAUUCAGGAUAAUUUGGAAUGUCGAGUUCAAAAUGUUGAAGUUCUAUUCUUAGAUGCACAGUUCUCCAUAAAAUCAUUCGGAUAGAACUUCUUUGCAAGUUUACAAAUAUCAUCAAUCUUGAACAGCAUAAAUCCAUUUCUAGGAUCUAAAACAGUGUUCAAAACAAGCAAUUCCACGGUAUGAUCAUUAAACUUGCUAUGUAACUCUUGCAAUUGAUAAUCAAUUGUUGCAAGAAAUAUAUCCAUUCGAUAAUAAUGCUCCACAUUAAUCUCAUCAUGAUAACUUCGAGAUCUAUCACGUCUUGCAAUAUAUUGAGCAUUCAUACAUGGGAUAUCAAUUUGAUGUUGCUCAAAAAAUAAUUUAACUUUCACCAAGAAAUCAUUCCAUCCCGAAUCUCGAAAAUUCUUCAGUAGCUUUGUUGUGCUUGAAACAAGAUACAUUGCAUUCAAAAUAUCUUGAGAUUUACGUUACAAUGCUAUACAAAAAAGAUGAGUAAUUUCCACAAUGUCUUUCAUAAGAUGCAAAGUGAAAACAAACUUAAAACAUAACAACUAAUUCAAAACAAAAUUUGCAUCUCCACGUUGAGAGUAUGAACCUCCAUCUACUGCAAUGUUACUUAAAACCACACAAGUAGGAUUGAACAUUUUCAGUAAACUAUAAAUAGAAUCCAAAUGAGAACCCCAACGAGUAUCUUCAACUCAUUUUAAAGUGCCAAUUUGAUUAAGCUCCCUUCCAAUUUCAAGUUCACCAUUAGCAAUCUUAGUAGCAACUUCAAUUGCUUGAGCCUCCUUUAAUUCAUCAUUAUCAUUACAUUUGCUAGAUGUAGUAACAAUGUUGAUAAUGAAAACUAAAUUGGAGAAUAAUUGGUGAACAGAAACAACUUCUCUAGAAACUGCAAUUAAAGCAAAUUGAAGCCUAUGAGCCAAACAAUGAAUGUAACAGGCAUAUGGACAUUCAUGGCAAAUUAAAGCUUGCAAGCCGUUCCAUUCAAAAAUGACUAAUUCAUAUAUAUCUAUAUAUAUAUAUCAACUCUCAUAAUAUAAACUAAAAUUGUAAAAAUUUAGGGGGGGCCAAUUUUAUUUUACACACAUAUUUACAUAUUAUGAAUUAAAAUUCUCAAAAUUUAGGGGGGACCAUGGCCCCCUUCUGCCCCCUUGGCUCCAUCAUCGGAUUCACUAUUUUUGAAAAAUAAUAUUUAAUUUUUUUCCCUCUGUGUUUGAAAUACUGAAUGCCAUUUGCACUUAAACAAUUAUCAAUUUUUUAAUACAUAGAUGAGACAUAAGUGUACAAUUUAUUGGGCGUACUAUCUGAACAAAUAAUGACAGAAGAUGUUCUACUGGUGUUGAUGAUAGUACAUCAUAUCAGCUAUUGCUCUCCUACUUUCAUUCCAUUCAGCAAUUCCUACAGCCGGCAUAUCUGGAGCUUGUGCUGCGGGCAUUGGGUUGAAGGGAUUUAUGUUAUCUGCCAAUGCUAUAUCUGCUUCUUCUUCAACAAAAUAUGCGUCAUUUGGAACAUACUCGGGUAUGAAGUUGUGCAAGGCACAACAAGCUAGGACAAUAUUAUUUUGAGUAGCCAUCAUUUACUUCUGCAUAGGGCCCUUAAGUAUUGGAAACCGCUUCUUCAAGACACCAAACGUGUGUUCUAUAAUGUUUCUUAAAGAUGCAUGCCGUUUGUUGAAGAGUGUCCUCACUGCCCGCUCUUGCACGGUUCUCCGUGCAUCUUUAAAUGGAACCAUGAGUCCUGUGAUAUUCUAAUAAGCCGCGUCCACCGCGUAAUACUUCCCUGGCAUAAUGAAAUUAUAUUUAAAACUCAUUGAAGACGCAAUGAGAAAAGGAAUUAUGUAAUUUAAUUUGGACUAACCUGCUGGUGGCCACGAAAAGGCACAAUUAGGAUCUUGUAUGACUUCUUGUAAGAUUCUAGAAUCAUGUGCGCUACCCUUCCACCCUACCCUGACAUAAGUGAAUCUCAUGUUGUGAUCACAUACGGUUAGAACAUUUUAUGAUAAGCUACCAUGCCUGUUCCGGUAACGUUCCCUGUCUUCGGUUGUACACCAGGCCGAAACACGUGUUCCGUCAAUCGCUCCAACGCAAUCCUAAUAAAAAAAAAUCUUUCCAUAAGUUGAUCACAGCUGUUAGGCAUAAUGAAAUAGUAAUUUCACAGAGUAGCCCAUAAUCUUAAACCAGGGCCAGAACAAAGCACUAUUCUGUAUUCUUGGAUGGGUUAUGUGAUAAUCCACCGGUCGGACCAGGUCGCGUCCCAAUCGAAUGAGAGAUCUAAGGCAGCGUCGUAGAUGGCGGUCCGUUGUCUCGGGAGAAUGUUGGAAUCUCUCGGCAAGCGCCCUAUGUCGCUCAUUAUGAUUCAAACAUAGCAGGCAUAUAACAACGGACUCAUGAAUUCCCACCCGUUGUGUCGGGUGGGCCACCCAAUAGUCCCUCUGAACCAACAAGUCACACAAUUGGAGGAAAAGGGGAGCUUCCAAUCGAAGGUUGUCGAAUAUUCUGUCUCGAUGGCCGUUUAUCAGCUCUAUAAUAUAUUGAGCACCCGACUGUGCACCAUCUCGAAUUCUUCACCGCUGCCCUGAGUUGAUGUACGGGUCGACUAAGACCAAUCCAACAAGGAUAAAGGCAGCGAAGGCCAACAUGAGCUCCUCGUCAUCCGAAUCAUCAGAUGAGUUCCCACCAUUCACAUAACCAUCAUACUCCAUUUCAUGUAAUCUGUGCAACUGCGUCGGGCGUGAAUCUGAAAAAAAAAAGGAGGCCGUGAUAUCAUUCAAGACCACUCUUAAUUUGCCUACAUUGAGCAGAAAAUAAAAAACUCAACAUGUACAUUGAUCAAAAUUAGGCAAAAAUCUAUUACAUGCGAUUUUCGGUAAGACAAGAGGAUAACUUCUUGAAAUAAGUCGAGGCUAUCCGCCAACCAAUUUAUAGCCAACAAGUUGAGGGAUCAAGCAGAAGUUUUGCAUCUUACAUAAGAAAAAGAAUCUUACAUCUUCUUCAAGUAAGUCACGUAUUCUUGAAAAGAAUUGUUGAAGUAAGUCAUAUUCUUGAAAAGAAUUGUUGAAGUAAGUCAUAUUCCCUACCUAAAAGUUGCUCUAAAAAUGACCAUCAUACCUAAAAGUUGCUAUUUUCCUUCCAAAAGUUGCUUUUUUCUUGUCCCUUACUUCAAUUACCUUACAUCUUCUUCAAGUAAGUCAUGAAUUCUUAAAAGAUUUGUUGAAGUAAGUCAAUUUCUUAAAAUAAGUCUUAUUCUUUAUUCGAAACUUUAGACUAAGUAAGGAACGUUGUCCCUUACUUGAAUUACCUCAUAUAAUUCUUGAAGUAAGUCACAUAAUUGAAAAGAGUUGUUGAAAUUGGACAUAUUCUUGAAAUAAGUCCUUAUUCUUUACUAUAAACUGUAGGCCAAGUAAGGAACGUUGUCCGUUACAUCUUCCUUACUAUCCAACUCUUGAAAUUUUUCUGAACAAAUAAAAUUAGGAAUCGUACGUACUGUUAAAAUAAUAGUGCGUUACCUAACAGAGAAAAAACUAACUAAUCUGGACUCAAGCAGAAUGUUGUUGAAGUAACGGAUAAACUUUCUUGAAGGCAAUUAUUUGCAUAUUCAAAAAGUAUCAUAUUCUUGAACCUGUUGCUAAAGUAAUACAUUCUUGAAAGUAAGGUUUAGGCCAAGUAAGGAAAAAACUCCCUUACGUAUUCCUGACAUUCCAACAGCCUGCAUGGGUCAAACUAUCACUCUUAAUAAGUAGUCAUAUCAGACAUAGUAAUAGCCAAACCAGUACAUUUCCUGAAACGACUACGUCGUUGGACUGCACUUUUUUUUUCAGGAAAUGUACUGGUUUGGCUAUUGUUAUGUCUGAUAUGACUAUUUAUUAAGAGUGAUAGUUUCACCCAUGCAGGUUGUUGGAAUGUCAGGAAUACGUAAGGGAGUUUUUUCCUUACUUGGCCUAAACCUUACUUUCAAGAAUGUAUUACUUCAACAACAAGUUCAAAAAUAUGAUACUUUUUGAAUAUAUAAAUAAUUGCCUUCAAGAAAGUUUAUCCGUUACUUCAACAACAUUCUGCUUGAGUCCAAAUUAAUUAGUUUUUUCUCUGUUAGGUAGCGCACUAUUAUUUCAACAGUACGUACGAUUCUUAAUUUUACUUAUUCAGAAAAAUUUCAAAAGUUGGAUAGUAAGGAAGAUGUAACGGACAACGUUCCUUACUUGGCCUACAAUUUAUAGUAAAAAAUAAGGACUUAUUUCAAGAAUAUGUCUAAUUUCAACAAUUCUUUUCAAUUGUGUGACUUACUUCAAGAAUUAUAUGAGGUAAUUCAAGUAAGGGACAACGUUCCUUACUUGGCCUAAAGUUUCGAAUAAAGAAUAAGACUUAUUUUAAGAAAUUGACUUACUUCAACAAAUCUUUUAAGAAUUCAUGACUUACUUGAAGAAGAUGUAAGGUAAUUGAAGUAAGGGACAAGAAAAGAGCAACUUUUGGAAGGAAAAUAGCAACUUUUAGGUAUGAUGGUCAUUUUUAGAUCAACUUUUAGGUAUGGAAUAUGACUUACUUCAACAACUCUUUUCAAAAAUAUGACUUACUUCAAUAAUUCUUUUCAAGAAUACGUGACUUACUUGAAGAAGAUGUAAGAUUCUUUUUCUUAUGUAAGAUGCAAAACUUCUGCUUGAUCCCUCAACUUGUUGGCUAUAAAUUGGUUGGCGGAUAGCCUCAACUUAUUUCAAGAAGUUAUCCUCUUGUCUUACCGAAAAUCGCAUGUAAUAGAUUUUUGCCUAAUUUUGGUCCAUGUACAUGUUGAGUUUUAUAUUUCCUGCUCAAUGUAGGCAAAUUAAGAUUGGUCUUGAAUGAUACCACGGCCUCCUUUUUUUUUUCAGAUUCACGCCCGACGCAGUUGUACAGAUUACACGAAAUGGAGUAUGACGGUUAUGUGAAUGGUGGGGACUCGUCUGAUGAUUCGGACGACGAGGAACUCAUGUUGGCCUUCGCUGCCUUUAUCCUUGCUGGAUUGACCUUAUUCGACCCGUACAUCAACUCAGGGCAGCGGCGAAGAAUUCGAGAUGGUGCACUGUCGGGUGCUCAAUAUGUUAUAGAGCUGAUAAACGGCUAUCGAGACAGAAUAUUCGACAACCUUCGAAUGGAAGCUCCCCUUUCCUCCAAUUCUGUGACUUGUUGGUUCAGAGAGGCUAUUGGGUGGCCCACCCGACACAACGGGUGGGAAUUCAUGAGUCCGUUGCUAUAUGCCUGCUGUGUUUGAAUCAUAAUGAGCGACAUAGGGCGCUUGCCGAGAGAUUCCAACAUUCUCCCGAGACAACGGACCGCCAUCUACGACGCUGCCUUAGAUCUCUCAUUCGAUUGGGACACGACCUGGUCCGAUAGGUGGAUUAUCACAUAACCCAUCCAAGAAUAUAGAAUAGUGCUUUGUUCUGGCCCUGAUUUAAGAUUAUGAGCUACUCUGUGAAAUUACUAUUUCAUUAUGCCUAACAGCUGUGACCAACUUAUGGGAAGAUUUUUUUUUUAUUAGGAUUGCGUUGGAGCGAUUGACGGAACACGCGUUUCGGCCUGGUGUACAGCCGAAGACAGGGAACGUUACCGGAACAGGCAUGGUAGCUUAUUACAAAACGUUCUAGCCGUGUGUGAUCACAACAUGAGAUUCACUUAUGUCAGGGUAGGGUGGAAAGGUAGCGCACACGAUUCUAGAAUCUUACAAGAAGUCAUACAAGAUCCUAAUUGUGCCUUUCCGUGGCCACCAGCAGGUUAGUCCAAAUUAAAUCACAUAAUUCAUUUUCUCAUUGCGUCUUCAAUGAGUUUUAAAUAUAAUUUCAUUAUGUCAGGAAAGUAUUACGCAGUGGACGCGGCUUACCAGAAUAUCACAGGACUCAUGGCUCCAUUUAAAUAUGCACGGGGAACCGUGCAAGAGCGGACAGUGAGGACACUCUUCAACAAACGGCAUGCAUCGUUAAUAAACAUUAUAGAACACACGUUUGGCGUCUUGAAGAAGCGGUUUCCAAUACUUAAGGGUCUCAUGCAGAAGUAUAUGAUGACUACUCAAAAUAAUAUUGUCCUGGCUUGUUGUGCCUUACAUAACUUCAUGCGCGAGUAUGUUCCAAAUGACGCAUAUUUUGUUGAAGAAGAAACAGAUAUAGCAUUGGCAGAAAACAUAAACCCCUUCAACCCAAUGCCCGCAGCACAAGCUCCAGAUAUGUUGACUGCAGGAAUUGUUGAAUGGAAUUAAAGUAGGAGAGGAAUAGCCGAUAUGAUGUACUAUCAUCAACACCAGUAGAACAUCUCCUGCCAUUAUUUGUUCAGAUAGUACGCCCAAUAAAUUGUACACUUAUGUCUCAUCUAUGUAUUAAAAAAUUGAUAAUUGUUUAAGUGCAAAUGGCAUUCAGUAUUUCAAACACAGAGGAAAAAAAAAUUAAAUGUUGUUUUUCAAAAACAGUGAAUCCAUACAUGCUUGUUUUUCAAAAACACUCUGUUUUUGAAAAACAACUAAUCCAAACAACAUUGAUUGUUUUCCAAAAAAUGAAUAGUGCUGUUAUUGUAAAAUACCCCUAAAAACAGCAUAUCCAAAUGGAGCCUUGGUUGUUUUUGAAAGACAAAAACAGUUUUUGCAAAAAUUGACAAUCCAAACAGAGUCUUAGUUAUUGUAGUUAUAACAAUUAUUUUUUGUUCAUGCUUUCCUCAAAUGCCCCUUAUUAAUAUUAGAUCAUUCGUUCAAAGUAAAAGGCAUGUAUUACUAUAUUGUUUUUUGAAUUUAGAGCACUUUAGUUUCUUAAUGCAAGAGUCAAUCUAAUUCAUGUUACAUGUUUAACUAAAAUGAAUAACAAAAAUAAAAUUGACAAACAAUCAAACAUUUUAAUUUGGAGCCAUUAGAAGGCAACAAAUAUAUUAUAAAAUCUAUAAUAAUAAUGUACAUUAAAUAUGGGUGUGUUAGUAAAAUAACUAACUAACUACUCUUUAAAAAAAUAAAUAGGCUUAUAAUUUGGGAUGGGCACAAAGGAAAGUGAGCCUAUUUUUAUGGGAUAGAGAGAGUAUUAAAUACUGAGUCUCUAUUCCAAAAAAAUAGCAAGCUUUUCUCCUUCUCUUUUACUAUUUUUUUUCCUUCAACUGCUUUAACAACUUAUCUAUUGCCUAGUUUUUCUUGGAAUUCGAACUUUGACUUCCUCAAUAAAAUUCCGCCUUGAUCUCCAAAUAUAAUUGCUUAAAUGUUGGAGAAAUAUUUAUGAUCUCUCUUGAAAUUUAUCGUCUCUUUUAUCAAUUGAAUUAGUUUAUGCUUCUUUCCUUUUGCCUAUGUGUAAAGGCACAUAAGUUUUUGUUCUUUUUCUUUCACUUCUUUGUUGAAUUUUGUUUCAUUUUUUUAUAGUAGAAAUGAAAAGAUUCUCGAAAUAAAGUCAGAAGGGACAAACAGAGCCAACGUAAAGCAAUUUGCAUGUAGCACGAGAUAAUUCUUGGUUUUUGAAUAAAUGCCUACUUUGGUUGUUGCAUUUUAUAUUAAUGAAUUAAGGAAAAAUUGUUCAAAACACCCCUUACAUUUUGUUCAAUGAAUUUUUUUGUCUUUUACUUUUAAAAUGUUAUUUUUACAUCUUUACAAAUUUAAAUUAGCAAAAUUUAGUUCCCGUGGCGACUUUUGAUUGCGGCCUUAGGAGGGGUCUAGGGGGCGAAGGAAGGGAGGGGAUGAGGAAGGAGGGUGAGAAGGAAGGAGAAAAAGAAGGAGAGGGAGGAGGAGGGAGUAAAGAGGAAGAGAAAGGAGGCAAAGGAGAAAGGAGGCAAAGGAGAAAGGAAGCGGAGAGAGAAGGGAGGAGGAGGUAACGGGUGGUGGCGAUGGGUGAUGGUAGUGGUGGUGGGUGGUGUAAACUUUUAAAAAAUACCAAAAAAAUUGUAAAUUCUAAAAAUAUUCCAAAAUACUUUAAAAAAACCUCCUAAAAAUAUCUCUAAAAACACCCUAAAAAACAUUUACACUAAAGUUUUAUAUAUAUACAGGUACAGAAAAAAAUAUUUGAAAAACACCCACAAAAAUAACUAAUUCAAAUAGAACCUUUCUUUUUUUGAAACAAAUUCCUGAAUCGUUAGUUAGCUAAAAAGAGAUAAAGGAAAAAAUGUUAGUUGCAUGCAGAGCGUUGUAAACACUGAGGGAGUUUUCGUUUUCUCCCAAUUCCAAGUGUUUGGAGUGCAAAUUGGCCUCUGGAUUUAGAGUUGAAUUACAAUUGUAUAUGGCCCAGUUUAAACUAUUUUUCUUGAGACCUUGAAAAAUUAGAUAGUUUUCAUAGUUACUCAUCAUACGAUAUCACACGAAAUGCGUUCACAUAAUUUCUGCAGUAAUUUAAGAAUACAUGUAUUCAUAUAUAAAAAAUUGAUUUAUCUAAUGCUAAGUCAAAUAAAAAAGCUGAACUAUCCUCUUAUUUCAUCCUUAAUUUCCUAGUGUUUCUUUCCAUCAUUUGAUGUUGGGAGGAAAUUGCUUUAUUGAACUGAAACUGUACGUCCCAGCUGGCUUAAGUGAAUAUGCAAAAGAAAUGUCAACCAAAAAUAUUUCAACCAUUAAGUGGAAGAACACAUUGAUCACUCUCUGGGAACCAUAUAUAUUUCAACCAAACAUAAUGUGUGAACAAAAAAGAAAAAGAAAUUCAUUAUAUUUUAAAAUUUCUUGUCUUAAUUGCCAAGAAAUAGUACAGAAAAUUGUCCUAAAGAAAUCAUUAGCACAUUGGUAUAAAGUUAUACAGUUUUGGUUUGAAUUUUAUACAAAUUUCAUUAUAUACGUUUACAAAUUCAAGUUUACACCCAUUUUAAACGACUUUACACCAAAAGAGGUAAGAACUGCAAGAAUCAGAUUGAACUAGACAACUUCCAACUGUGAGACCCCUGAUCCUAUUGUUACAUAUAUAAGUAUGGUUUGGCCAAUCAGUGCACAUUGAAUGCUCACUAAGAGGUUUGCAAAUCUCAUAUGUUAAUUUUUUAAAGAAAAAGUAUAGUUAAUUUGAAAAAGUAUAUAAAAUACAGGAGGUACAAUAAUUGUGAUUGCGUGUAUUCACAUGGAAAGUCAGGUAUAAUUUUUGCACGUUAACAAGUAUCCAUGCCUGUUAGGACAAAAAUCCCUAUAUGUAGACCCAAUUCAAACGAUGAAUACAUUCUCUUAGCAAAUUUCUAAUACAAAAAUUUGCAACAUCUAAUUGUAAUUCAAAGUAAUUCGUGUCGUUUCAAUUGCAGAAUUUCUGCUUUUAAUGAAUACCAAUUUGUACGAAAAGGUAGUAAAUUUAUUUAGAGAAAAAAUAUUGCAUCAUUAACUAUUAGCCUCUAACUGAGAAGGAGCAGAAAAAAAAAAAAAAAAAGGUUUAGAAGCUUUUUACAGUUAUACAUUAUUCACGCGGUCUGAUUAAAUAUUUUUUUGCAUCUAUACUGAUUUAUUCCAGACCAAGACCAAAAUUAGCAGAGUUAGAUCAUCUUUUCAGACUCCAAAAUGAAUCAACUCAACCGAUGAUUCCUUCAACAUACAGAAUAUAUAAACAGCAGAGAAAACAGAAUAAUUUAUCAACUUAUUUCCUUUUUCUUUUUUGAUUUCCUUGAAUUUAAAAAUACCUGUUGUUGAUGAGCCCCGUAAUCAGCUCUGUUUGAAGAAAUUAGUUGCAGAAGCUCCGGCAACCGGCAGGAACCAGCUUCGCCACUACCCCAACAAACCGGUUCGUGGGAUUUCUUUGAAAAAAUAUACUACUAUUGAAUGUCUGAGACGAGAUAGUUCACAGUAGCAGGCCUUC